rnacentral:rRNA from 1 species
AUUGAACGCUGGCGGCAGACCUAACACCUGCAAGUCGAACGAGUGGCGGACGGGUGAGUAAUGUCUGGGAAACUGCCUGAUGGAGGGGGAUAACUACUGGAAACGGGAGCUAAUACCGCAUACCAUCAGAUGUGCCAAGAUGGGAUUAGCUAGUUGGGGGGGUAACGGCUCACAAAGGAGACGAUCCCUAGCUGGUCUGAGAGGAUGACCAGCCACACUGGAACUGAUACACGGUCCAGACUCCUACGGGAGGCAGCAGUGGGGAAUAUUGCACAAUGGGCGCAAGCCUGAUGCAGCCAUGCCGCGUGUAUGAAGAAGGCCUUCGGGUUGUAAAGUACUUUCAGCGGGGAGGCGUUACCCGCAGAAGAAGCACCGGCUAACUCCGUGCCAGCAGCCGCGGUAAUUC